rnacentral:rRNA from 1 species
CCUACGGGUGGCAGCAGUGGGGAAUAUUGGACAAUGGGCGAAAGCCUGAUCCAGCCAUGCCGCGUGUAUGAAGAAGGCCUUCGGGUUGUAAAGCACUUUCAGUGGGGAAGAAAGCCUUGGGGCUAAUACCCUCGAGGAAGGACAUCACCCACAGAAGAAGCACCGGCUAACUCCGUGCCAGCAGCCGCGGUAAUACGGAGGGUGCGAGCGUUAAUCGGAAUUACUGGGCGUAAAGCGCGCGUAGGCGGUCUGAUAAGCCGGUUGUGAAAGCCCCGGGCUCAACCUGGGAACGGCAUCCGGAACUGUCAGGCUAGAGUGCAGGAGAGGAAGGUAGAAUUCCCGGUGUAGCAGUGAAAUGCGUAGAGAUCGGGAGGAAUACCAGUGGCGAAGGCGGCCUUCUGGACUGACACUGACGCUGAGGUGCGAAAGCGUGGGUAGCAAACAGGAUUAGAUACCCUUGUAGUC